rnacentral:rRNA from 1 species
AACGAACGCUGGCGGCAUGCUUAACACAUGCAAGUCAAACGCGAAAGGGGCUUCGGUCCUGAGUAGAGUGGCGCACGGGUGAGUAACGCGUAGAUAACCUGUCCUGGUGUCUGGAAUAAUAUCUCGAAAGGGGUGCUAAUACCGGAUAUUCUUGCUUUCUAUAAGGUAUGCAAGGAAAGGUGGCCUCUGGAACAAGCUACUGCACGAGGAGGGGUCUGCGUACCAUUAGCUAGUAGGUGGGGUAAUGGCCUACCUAGGCGACGAUGGUUAGCGGGUCUGAGAGGAUGAUCCGCCACACUGGUACUGGAAUACGGACCAGACUCCUACGGGAGGCAGCAGUGAGGAAUAUUGCGCAAUGGGGGCAACCCUGACGCAGCGACGCCGCGUGAGUGAGGAAGGCCUUCGGGUCGUAAAGCUCUGUCAAAGGGGAAGAAGUGCAUGGUGGUUAAUAUCUGUCAUGUUUGACGGUACCCUUAAAGGAAGCACCGGCUAACUCCGUGCCAGCAGCCGCGGUAA